rnacentral:snRNA from 1 species
AUACGUACAUGGUUUCGGGGCCUUGUUGAUCACCGAUGACGAGCCCCCAGGGCGAGGCGUGGGCAUUGAACUGCGCUCGCGUUGACCCCUGCCACUACCCCAAACUGGGGCAGAUGGAAAUUGCUU